GAUGAACGCUGGCGGCGUGCCUAAUACAUGCAAGUCGAGCGAACAGACGAGGAGCUUGCUCCUCUGACGUUAGCGGCGGACGGGUGAGUAACACGUGGAUAACCUACCUAUAAGACUGGGAUAACUUCGGGAAACCGGAGCUAAUACCGGAUAAUAUAUUGAACCGCAUGGUUCAAUAGUGAAAGACGGUUUUGCUGUCACUUAUAGGUGGAUCCGCGCCGCAUUAGCUAGUUGGUAAGGUAACGGCUUACCAAGGCAACGAUGCGUAGCCGACCUGAGAGGGUGAUCGGCCACACUGGAACUGAGACACGGUCCAGACUCCUACGGGAGGCAGCAGUAGGGAAUCUUCCGCAAAGGGCGAAAGCCUGACGGAGCAACGCCGCGUGAGUGAUGAAGGUCUUCGGAUCGUAAAACUCUGUUAUUAGGGAAGAACAAAUGUGUAAGUAACUAUGCACGUCUUGGCGGUACCUAAUCAGAAAGCCACGGCUAACUACGUG
rnacentral:rRNA from 1 species